UACGUAGGGCGCAAGCGUUGUCCGGAUUUAUUGGGCGUAAAGAGCGUGUAGGCGGCUAGGUAGGUCCGUUGUGAAAACUCGAGGCUCAACCUCGAGACGUCGAUGGAAACCAUCUAGCUAGAGUCCGGAAGAGGAGAGUGGAAUUCCUGGUGUAGCGGUGAAAUGCGCAGAUAUCAGGAAGAACACCCGUGGCGAAGGCGGCUCUCUGGUACGUGACUGACGCUGAGACGCGAAAGCGUGGGGAGCGAACAGG
rnacentral:rRNA from 1 species